UCGGAAUCUAUAAAAUCACCAAUUUUCAAACUCCCGGGAAACUUUCCAGGUAUCUCCGUUUUGAUUGUGA